GUGAUGGCAUCCACUGUGUCCAAAGAGCAGCCUGCGCCUCAGGCUGAGGAGGGGAAAAAGGCUGAGGCAGUGGCCACUGUACUAGCCGCUGUGGAUCUGGCUCGUGUGCGCCUCCCGGUGCAAGCGGAGGGAGCUGCAGUCGAGGAAGAGGAGCCUGUGGUGAUAAAACCCCGAGCUGGAAAAGAGAUAAUCCAAAUCAAAGCAGUGAUGACCGAAGCUCCCAAAGCGCCACCUACAGUAAAACAAGAAAGAGUCCAAGUGACACAGAUCCAGAAAACCACUGAAAUCUCUUCCCAAGUGGUAAGAGGUGUGAGCCCGACCCCGGUGCCACACUUCUCUGUAUCUAAAGUGACCGUCCCCAAAGCUGAACAUGGCCCAGAGGUAAGAAGAGGAGCUGCCUUGGAAUCUGUGGCCAUUUCCGUUUUUACAAGACCUCAUGCCGUCUUUAACGAACCGCCAUUUUAACAUAGAGACCUGGGGCUGCACGAUAUGAGAAAAAAAAUAAAAGAGAUAAAUUAC
rnacentral:lncRNA from 1 species